AAAUGUUCCCCUUACAGCUACAUAUAGAGAAAUAUCAGCCACGGUCACUGUGGGCUCUGGAGAGUUUAGCACUGCUUUUAGUUAUACGAUGUUCCUUCCAGUUCUGCUGCUGCUGGCAGCUUCAUCCUAUGUGGAAUGUGCAGUAGAGCUCACUCAGGACACCUCAGUGAUGUUAAAGCCUGGAGAUUCUUUAAUCCUCAGCUGUAAAGUAUCCGGUUACUCAGUUACUGAUGACAGCUACGCCACAGCUUGGAUUCGACAACCUGCAGGGAAAACUCUGGAAUGGAUAAACCACAUUUGGGGGGGUGGAAGCAUGUAUCAUAAAGAGUCUCUAAAAAGCAAGUUCAGUGUUUCUAAAGAUGCCUCCAGCAGCACGGUGACACUGAGAGGACAGAACAUGCAGACUGAAGACACAGCUGUGUAUUACUGCGCUCGUCAUCCACACAGUGACACAACAAGCUGCAGUGCUGCACAAAAACCUCAUCACAACUCACUUCUUUAAUUAAAUAAUAGCUACAUUUUACUGAGUAACUAAUCCCUACAUUCCAAACACUGUAUACAUUAUUUAUAACUUGUUUGAACAUUUAAUUAGAAGAUAAACUAUCUGCAGUAUUUGAUAUGAUGAAGAUUUCUGUAAACAGAAUGUUUAUUUCGUGUUGUUGGAAGGAGUCUCCAGUGUCAGAGCUAGAUCAGGGUUAAAGCUGAGACUUUAUUUACAGCAUGAGAAAGUCUUCAGGACAGAAAAGUUUGUACUUUUUCCUCAGUUUCAAGAUAAGUGUUGAGGGAAGGACUGUUUCUAGCUGUAAUAAUGAACACGAUAACAGGAAAUAACUUGUUUUUCUGGCCCUAAUACAAGUUUAAGCAUAACUAUGAAUAAAUAAUGAAA